rnacentral:rRNA from 1 species
UACGUAGGGGGCAAGCGUUGUCCGGAAUUAUUGGGCGUAAAGCGCGCGCAGGCGGUUAUUUAAGUCUGGUGUUUAAGCCCGGGGCUCAACCCCGGUUCGCAUCGGAAACUGGAUGACUGGAGUGUAGGAGAGGAAAGUGGAAUUCCACGUGUAGCGGUGAAAUGCGUAGAGAUGUGGAGGAACACCAGUGGCAAAGGCGACUUUCUGGCCUAUAACUGACGCUGAGGCGCGAAAGCGUGGGGAGCAAACAGG